ACGAACGCUGGCGGCGCGCCUAACACCUGCAAGUCGAACGGAGUCAAGAGGAGCUUGCUUUUCUUGACUUAGUGGCGAACGGGUGAGUAACGCGUGAGUAACCUGCCCUGGAGUGGGGGACAACAGUUGGAAACGACUGCUAAUACCGCAUAAGCCCACGGAUCCGCAUGGAUCUGCGGGAAAAGGAUUUAUUCGCUUCAGGAUGGACUCGCGUCCAAUUAGCUAGUUGGUGAGGUAACGGCCCACCAAGGCGACGAUUGGUAGCCGGACUGAGAGGUUGAACGGCCACAUUGGGACUGAGACACGGCCCAGACUCCUACGGGAGGCAGCAGUGGGGGAUAUUGCACAAUGGGGGAAACCCUGAUGCAGCGACGCCGCGUGGAGGAAGAAGGUUUUCGGAUUGUAAACUCCUGUCGUUAGGGACGAUAAUGACGGUACCUAACAAGAAAGCACCGGCUAACUACGU
rnacentral:rRNA from 1 species